rnacentral:rRNA from 1 species
UUAAGUGACUAAGCGUACAUGGUGGAUGCCUUGGCAGUCAGAGGCGAUGAAGGACGUACUAACCUGCGAUAAGCCGUGAGCAGUCGGUAAGAGACAUUACGACUCACGGAUUUCCGAAUGGGGAAACCCACUCAGCAUAAGCUGGGUAUCGCUGCGUGAAUACAUAGCGCAGCGAGGCGAACCGGGAGAACUGAAACAUCUAAGUACCCCGAGGAAAAGAAAUCAACCGAGAUUCCCUCAGUAGCGGCGAGCGAACGGGGAUUAGCCCUUAAGCAUCUUGGAAGUUAGUGGAACGGUCCUGGAAAGGCCGGCGAUACAGGGUGAUAGCCCCGUACACGAAAACAACCUUGAUGUGAAAUCGAGUAGGGCGGGACACGUGACAUCCUGUCUGAAUAUGGGGGGACCAUCCUCCAAGGCUAAAUACUCCUGACUGACCGAUAGUGAACCAGUACCGUGAGGGAAAGGCGAAAAGAACCCCGGCGAGGGGAGUGAAAAAGAACCUGAAACCGUGUACGUACAAGCAGUGGGAGCCUACUUGUUAGGUGACUGCGUACCUUUUGUAUAAUGGGUCAGCGACUUAUAUUCUGUAGCAAGGUUAACCGUAUAGGGGAGCCGCAGGGAAACCGAGUCUUAACUGGGCGUUAAGUUGCAGGGUAUAGACCCGAAACCCGGUGAUCUAGCCAUGGGCAGGUUGAAGGUUGGGUAACACUAACUGGAGGACCGAACCGACUAAUGUUGAAAAAUUAGCGGAUGACUUGUGGCUGGGGGUGAAAGGCCAAUCAAACCGGGAGAUAGCUGGUUCUCCCCGAAAGCUAUUUAGGUAGCGCCUCGUGAACUCAUCUUCGGGGGUAGAGCACUGUUUCGGCUAGGGGGUCAUCCCGACUUACCAACCCGAUGCAAACUACGAAUACCGAAGAAUGUUAUCACGGGAGACACACGGCGGGUGCUAACGUCCGUCGUGAAGAGGGAAACAACCCAGACCGCCAGCUAAGGUCCCAAAGUCAUGGUUAAGUGGGAAACGAUGUGGGAAGGCACAGACAGCCAGGAUGUUGGCUUAGAAGCAGCCAUCAUUUAAAGAAAGCGUAAUAGCUCACUGGUCGAGUCGGCCUGCGCGGAAGAUGUAACGGGGCUAAACCAUGCACCGAAGCUGCGGCAGCGACACUAUGUGUUGUUGGGUAGGGGAGCGUUCUGUAAGCCGUUGAAGGUGGCCUGUGAGGGUUGCUGGAGGUAUCAGAAGUGCGAAUGCUGACAUAAGUAACGAUAAAGCGGGUGAAAAGCCCGCUCGCCGGAAGACCAAGGGUUCCUGUCCAACGUUAAUCGGGGCAGGGUGAGUCGACCCCUAAGGCGAGGCCGAAAGGCGUAGUCGAUGGGAAACAGGUUAAUAUUCCUGUACUCGGUGUUACUGCGAAGGGGGGACGGAGAAGGCUAUGUUAGCCGGGCGACGGUUGUCCCGGUUUAAGCAUGUAGGCGGGAAGUUUAGGUAAAUCCGGACUUCUUUUAACGCUGAGGUGUGAUGACGAGGCACUACGGUGCUGAAGUAACAAAUGCCCUGCUUCCAGGAAAAGCCUCUAAGCAUCAGGUAACAACGAAUCGUACCCCAAACCGACACAGGUGGUCAGGUAGAGAAUACCAAGGCGCUUGAGAGAACUCGGGUGAAGGAACUAGGCAAAAUGGUGCCGUAACUUCGGGAGAAGGCACGCUGAUGGUAGGUGAAGUGACUUGCUCAUGGAGCUGAAAUCAGUCGAAGAUACCAGCUGGCUGCAACUGUUUAUUAAAAACACAGCACUGUGCAAACACGAAAGUGGACGUAUACGGUGUGACGCCUGCCCGGUGCCGGAAGGUUAAUUGAUGGGGUUAUCCGUAAGGAGAAGCUCUUGAUCGAAGCCCCGGUAAACGGCGGCCGUAACUAUAACGGUCCUAAGGUAGCGAAAUUCCUUGUCGGGU